rnacentral:rRNA from 1 species
UACGUAGGGGGCGAGCGUUGUCCGGAGUUACUGGGCGUAAAGGGCAUGCAGGCGGUCCGACACGUUUUGUGUGACAGCGGGUGGCUUAACUACCCGAGGAUACGAAAGACGGUUGGACUUGAGGACUCGAGAGGGACACGGAAUUCCUGGUGUAGCGGUGAAAUGCGCAGAUAUCAGGAAGAACACCCGUGGCUAAGGCGGCUCUCUAGUACGGUACUGACGCUGAGACGCGAAAGCGUGGGGAGCGAACAGG